rnacentral:rRNA from 1 species
CUAGCCGUAAACGAUGGAUACUAGGCGUUGAGAGGAUCGACCCUCGCAGUGCCGUAGCUAACGCGUUAAGUAUCCCGCCUGGGGAGUACGCGCGCAAGCGUGAAACUCAAAGGAAUUGACGGGGGCCCGCACAGGCGGUGGAGUAUGUGGUUUAAUUCGAUGCAACGCGAAGAACCUUACCAGGGCUUGACAUGUCCGGAACCCUGCCCAAAGGUGGGGGUGCCUACAGGAGCCGGAACACAGGUGGUGC